GUCGUUUUAUCGGUAGUACAGUUCGCAGUGUCAUACUAUACGGGUUAAAAAUGAAUUAUAAUUUAUAUUGCUUUGCUCUGCUUUUUACUCUUACAUGUUUGACAUGUAUAAAAGCCGUCACUAUUAAGCGAAGAGCGAGGUCUGCAGAUGAUACCAUCGUGUUUCCGGAUUCUGUGAUAACUGAAAGUCCCAUAGAACCAACAACUCCCCCCUUGUUCAACAAGUUUCUUGUGCAAGUUGGCUCAAAUUGUGGUAUUGGCGAAACUUUCAUCGAUGGACGAUGUAGGAGAAAGUUUGGGAGAUUUUGAAAAGCGCAUUCGACCUCAAAUGGGUCGCGAAAGCAUACUGAGUAUGUUUUCAUUUAAAAAGAGAUUAAUUAUGUUUUAAAAUAAAACGAAAUCCAUAACAGCAAUGGACUUUGAUUAUCACGAAAAUAUAAUCUACUAAAACGUUAAGAUCGUAGCACCAUAGGAGCUUAAAAUUGUUUGUUGAUUUUAUAAGCUACAAUGGUUUAUCACCGUAUUUUGCUCGACUAGGUAUUAGCAAUAUGAAAUCAUUAAAACAAUCAAUUUAUUUUAAUUGCAAGGUGAUUCUUUCCGACCUUUAAAGGUUAGUUUCCCAAUAUCAUUGUUUUGAUGCAUAUGUUUAUAUACUUUCAUCAGCGUUGAAACGUCACCAAACGGCGUAUUGGUAACUAAAUAAUUAAUCUGGCAAACACUAAUAGGUCACAGUAUGAUUGUAUAUUCAAUAUGAAUCACGCGCUGCUCUAUCUUCUUACUUGUUUUACGCUCAUCACGGCCGUGGCAAUAAACCGAAGGGCUAGGUCACCAGAUGACGACGACAUUGUAUUUAUGGAUCCGGAUGCUGCGCCUAGGAUCAUAGAAACGACAACCGACUUUCCGAGUAGGAAUAUUAUAAAAUUUGGCCGGAAUUGUGGUAUUGGGGAAACAUUUGCGGACGGAAGGUGCAGAAAAAGGUUCAGACAGUUUCAAUAGUCGAUGAAAACUGAAAAACGAGAAGAAAUGAUAUGAGACAAUAAAAAUGGUCGUAGAUCAAAACAACAAGUAGUAGCAUUUAAUUUUAAGUGGCUAUGGAUAUUUUAGCUGGACAGGACACUACACGUCUAAAUAUAAGAAUCAAAGUAUCUAUUA